rnacentral:rRNA from 1 species
CGGUGAAUACGUUCCCGGGCUUGUACACACCGCCCGUCACACCACGAAAGUCGGCAACACCCGAAGCCGGUGGCCCAACCCGUUUUGGGGGGGAGCCGUCGAAGGUGGGGUUGGCGAUUGGGGUG